GCGCGAAAACUUUACAAUGCUGGCAACAGCGAUAAGGGAACCUCGAGUGCCAGGUUACAAAUCUGGCUGUCGAGAUGCCUAAAAAGCAUUUCAUAGCAAGGGCCGGGCAAGACCGGUGCCAGCCGCCGCGGUAACACCGGCGGCUCGAGUGGUAACCGUUAUUAUUGGGUCUAAAGGGUCUGUAGCCGGCCGGAUAAGUCUCUUGAGAAAUCUGGCAGCUUAACUGUCAGGCUUUCAGGAGAUACGGUGUGGCUCGAGGCCGGGAGAGGUGAGAGGUACUUCAGGGGUAGGGGUGAAAUCUUGUAAUCCUUGAAGGACCACCAGUGGCGAAGGCGUCUCACCGGAACGGACCUGACGGCAAGGGACGAAAGCUAGGGGCACGAACC
rnacentral:rRNA from 1 species